rnacentral:rRNA from 1 species
AGCAGCCGCGGUAAUUCCAGCUCCAAUAGCGUAUAUUAAAGUUGUUGCAGUUAAAAAAGCUCGUAGUUGAAUUUCGGGGUUAGUAGGUUGGUCGUGCCUCAGGUAUGCACUGAUCUCACUGAUUCCUCCUUCCUGAUGAACCGUAAUGCCAUUAAUUUGGUGUUGCGGGGAAACUGGACUGUUACUUUGAAAAAAUUAGAGUGUUUAAAGCAGGCUAACGCUUGAAUACAUUAGCAUGGAAUAAUGAAAUAGGACGUUCGAUCCUAUUUUGUUGGUUUCUAGGAUUGACGUAAUGAUUAAUAGGGAUAGUUGGGGGCAUUAGUAUUCAAUUGUCAGAGGUGAAAUUCUUGGAUUUAUUGAAGACUAACUACUGCGAAAGCAUUUGCCAAGGAUGUUUUCAUUAAUCAAGAACGAAAGUUAGGGGAUCGAAGACGAUCAGAUACCGUCGUAGUCUUAACCAUAAACUAUGCCGACUAGGGAUCGGAUGAUGUUAAUUUUUAAUUGACUCAUUCGGCGUCCC